UUUUCAUCAUCUCCAGUAAGGAUCGAGCCCCGCUGCCGCUACCGAUUUGGGAAAUACCUGUUUUCCCCCCUUUGCACAUAAAGGCUAUCCUAGCCCUGAGUCUGGCUAGUAAGGACGCGUGAGUGAGCUUUGAAAGUGGGUCUCGGCCGGGAGCGGUGGCUCACGCCUGUAAUCCAGCUCUUUGGGAGGCCGACCCUGCAGUAUCAUUUCUGCCUCUGGUGCCCACUACAUUUGGGUUAGUUUGCGGCUUGUUCUAGGCUGCUCUUCCAGAUAACGUUUAUUUAUAACUACAUAGAGACUUUGGAGUGUCACGACAGUUCCGUAUCAGGAGUGAAUUGAAGAAGAGAAGCAGUGGGACUUUCCAGAUUAAGUGAUUCCUGGCAAAGAAACAAAAGCAAAAUUGUCCUGUUCCCCAGUGGAUAUGGAUUCAAACUGGAAAUAAAAUCAGGUACAACUCCAAAAGGUGACAUUGGAGAAGAACUAAGU
rnacentral:lncRNA from 13 species